rnacentral:rRNA from 1 species
AUUGAACGCUGGCGGCAUGCCUUACACAUGCAAGUCGAACGGCAGGACGGGGGGGUAACCCCUGGUGGCGAGUGGCGAACGGGUGAGUAAUACAUCGGAACGUAUCCUGUAGCGGGGGGAUAACCUCUCGAAAGAGAGGCUAAUACCGCAUACGACCUACGGGUGAAAGAGGGGGAUCGCAAGACCUCUCACUAUUGGAGCGGCCGAUGUCGGAUUAGCUAGUUGGUGGGGUAACGCCCACCAAGGCUACGAUCCGUAGCUGGUCUGAGAGGACGACCAGCCACACUGGAACUGAGACACGGUCCAGACUCCUACGGGAGGCAGCAGUGGGGAAUUUUGGACAAUGGGCGCAAGCCUGAUCCAGCCAUGCCGCGUGGGUGAAGAAGG